rnacentral:rRNA from 1 species
GCAAGUCGAGGGGUAACAGGUAGAGCUUGCUUUCCGCUGACGACCGGCGCACGGGUGCGUAACGCGUAUACAAUCUACCUAUUACAGGGGGAUAGCCCAGAGAAAUUUGGAUUAAUACCCCAUAGUAUUAUUUAGUGGCAUCAUUAGAUAAUUAAAGCUUCGGCGGUAAUAGAUGAGUAUGCGUCCUAUUAGUUAGUUGGGAAGGGAAUUGCUUACAAAGACAUCGAUAGGUAGGGGUCCUGAGAGGGAGAGC